UCACAGGUGUAUCUUUUAUUAGGGUCCUUCUCCAUCAAAUUCCGAAUGAAGUCUUUAGCAGACUCAGAGAUAUCAUCCCAGUAUGGAGAGUCGAAUUCAUACUCUGCCUUGAGGAUCUGCUCGAAGAGUUUGGAGUCAUUCUCAUCAUAGAAAGGAGGAUACCCACAGAGCAGGAUAUAUGCGAUGACCCCGAUGGACCAGCAGUCCACGGCUUUGCUGUAGGGUUUCUGGGCCAACACUUCAGGAGCAACAUAGCCAGGAGUUCCGCAGGCUGUGGACAUCACAUCUCCUUUACCCUCCAUCUUAGACAAUCCAAAAUCACUGAUCAUGAUUUUUG
rnacentral:lncRNA from 1 species